UCUUUUUUUUUUUGGAAGGGGGGUGAUGGGAAUGAUGUGGGUCCUGCCACUGCCUGGCACCCAGUUCAGGAUGUGCCCCCAGCUGGAAUAGGCUAGCCGCGACCCUCGUGAGGAUAAGCACUUCAGGACAAUGGAUGGAUUUCAUGACGUGGAAAGCAAUAGAACGUAACCUCUCUCCUUGUUGCACGAGUCGUAGUGCCAGUUGCCGUUGCCAGUGAGGAAGGACAGACAAUUUCCAUCGGGGGUACCUGGGGGGCGGGAGAGAAGAUCUCAGUGCUCCUCCGUUCCUCCAAAUUGCAGCAGACAACCGUCUCCGACAGACCUGAAGUCGAGUGGACGUAAGUGAACGAGGCUCCGUCAGCCCACGUGCUGCCUUCGUCACUGAUGGCGACAUUGGCGCCCAACCACAGAGAGGAUGCGUUCGUCAGACCCUUGAUGUAACCUGUACCAGAAUGAACGACAUCAUCAAGAGGAGCCGAGUGAGGAGGACGCGUCAUCCGUUGAGCUCCGGGUGAUCGACUUUCUCAGCUCAAAAGGAAUUGAGUUAGACAGGGGGACCAUCGAGAAAUAUUAAAACCAAAGCAGCAAUAACAGUGCGGUUUGCAAACACAAAUUGGAGCUACUGAAACAGGGUAGACGGCUGAGGGGAUCAGACCUCAAC